rnacentral:misc_RNA from 1 species
CGAGAGUGUCACACUCCAACCCCACUGUUUACCUACCCGUCCACCGUGCUUCGGCAGGCAGUCCUGUGGGACAGGGCCUCGCCCCGCGAGGGGGUUGCCUGCCGCUGGCCAACCAAAAAUUCUAGCUGUUUUCGUACCAUCUGAGUCUUCCACAAAUAAACA